CAGUCGACGAUGAAGCAACUAGCUUGCUAGUUGUGGAUUAGUGGCGCACGGGUGAGUAAGGUAUAGUUAAUCUGCCCUACACAAGAGGACAACAGUUGGAAACGACUGCUAAUACUCUAUACUCCUAUUUAACAUAAGUUGAGUAGGGAAAGUUUUUCGGUGUAGGAUGRGACUAUAUAGUAUCAGCUAGUUGGUGAGGUAAUGGCUCACCAAGGCUAUGACGCUUAACUGGUCUGAGAGGAUGAUCAGUCACACUGGAACUGAGACACGGUCCAGACUCCUACGGGAGGCAGCAGUAGGGAAUAUUGCGCAAUGGGGGAAACCCUGACGCAGCAACGCCGCGUGGAGGAUGACACUUUUCGGAGCGUAAACUCCUUUUCUUAGGGAAGAAUUCUGACGGUACCUAAGGAAUAAGCACCGGCUAACUCCGUGCCAGCAGCCGCGGUAAUACGGAGGGUGCAAGCGUUACUCGGAAUCACUGGGCGUAAAGGGCGCGUAGGCGGAUUAUCAAGUCUCUUGUGAAAUCUAAUGGCUCAACCAUUAAACUGCUUGGGAAACUGAUAAUCUAGAGUGAGGGAGAGGCAGAUGGAAUUGGUGGUGUAGGGGUAAAAUCCGUAGAUAUCACCAAGAAUACCCAUUGCGAAGGCGAUCUGCUGGAACUUAACUGACGCUAAGGCGCGAAAGCGUGGGGAGCAAACAGGAUUAGAUACCCUGGUAGUCCACGCCCUAAACGAUGUACACUAGUUGUUGGGAUGCUAGUCAUCUCAGUAAUGCAGCUAACGCAUUAAGUGUACCGCCUGGGGAGUACGGUCGCAAGAUUAAAACUCAAAGGAAUAGACGGGGACCCGCACAAGCGGUGGAGCAUGUGGUUUAAUUCGAAGAUACGCGAAGAACCUUACCUGGGCUUGAUAUCCUAAGAACCUUAUAGAGAUAUGAGGGUGCUAGCUUGCUAGAACUUAGAGACAGGUGCUGCACGGCUGUCGUCAGCUCGUGUCGUGAGAUGUUGGGUUAAGUCCCGCAACGAGCGCAACCCACGUAUUUAGUUGCUAACGGUUAGGCCGAGCACUCUAAAUAGACUGCCUUCGUAAGGAGGAGGAAGGUGUGGACGACGUCAAGUCAUCAUGGCCCUUAUGCCCAGGGCGACACACGUGCUACAAUGGCAUAUACAAUGAGACGCAAUAUCGCAAGGUGGAGCAAAUCUAUAAAAUAUGUCCCAGUUCGGAUUGUUCUCUGCAACUCGAGAGCAUGAAGCCGGAAUCGCUAGUAAUCGUAGAUCAGC
rnacentral:rRNA from 1 species